AUUGAACGCUGGCGGCAGGCCUAACACAUGCAAGUCGAGCGGAUGAAGGGAGCUUGCUCCUGGAUUCAGCGGCGGACGGGUGAGUAAUGCCUAGGAAUCUGCCUGGUAGUGGGGGACAACGUUUCGAAAGGAACGCUAAUACCGCAUACGUCCUACGGGAGAAAGCAGGGGACCUUCGGGCCUUGCGCUAUCAGAUGAGCCUAGGUCGGAUUAGCUAGUUGGUGAGGUAAUGGCUCACUAAGGCGACGAUCCGCAACCGGUCUGAGAGGAUGAUCAGUCACACUGGAACUGAGACACGGUCCAGACUCCUGCGGGAGGCAGCAGUGGGGAAUAUUGGACAAUGGGCGAAAGCCUGAUCCAGCCAUGCCGCGUGUGUGAAGAAGGUCUUCGGAUUGUAAAGCACUUUAAGUUGGGAGGAAGGGUUGUAGAUUAAUACUCUGCAAUUUUGACGUUACCGACAGAAUAAGCACCGGCUAACUCUGUGCCAGCCGCCGCCGUAAUAC
rnacentral:rRNA from 1 species